UCUCUCUCUCUCUCUUUCUGUCUCCAUGACAACAGAUAGACUUUCACAUUAACGAAUCGAUUUCGUCGAGUAAAAGUUGAAGCUACAAUCGGCUCUUAGAGCCACUCAGACAUGCAACACCGGCAAACCGUGAUGAUUGAGAGAAAAAAGUUUCGAUUUCGUCAGGAAAAAGAAUAUUACCGACGAUUGUUACAGUCCAGUGUUAUUAUCGUUUGAAAAAGAAUGGUAAUUAAUAUCGUUGAUACACAUCGAUAACGAAACGAUGAAACGACACGGUUUAGCUUGCUGUACAUCCGGCAAAACAAUGAGUAAAAUCGCGGACCAAUUAACGGUGUAAUGGUUGCACGAUAAUUCGCAACGAUAAAGCUUUCCUCUCUCUGGGGAUCGUUCGAACACCACAAAUUGCCCCAGCUGGCCUUAAUAAUUUUCUUUAAUCACUGCAUUCUAUAUUUAAUUCGUAGCGUCUGAUAGAUACGUGCCGGUGAUCUACAGUUCUUUGGUAAGCUCAGUAGGCUAGCUUAGCGGAGCACUUAUGGCUGAUUUAUACGAACCAUUACCACUAGCAGUGACCCAAUAAGGUUAUCCGCCAACCUCGGUGAACCAGAUCAGUGGCGCUCUUAAAGGUUGAUUCACAAGGCCCACCGUUAGCCUUAAACCGUCCUCGACUGUGAAUCUUAUUAAGGUCAAUGAUGAUACUCUUGUACUUGGUGACUUGGAGAUCAAUAGCGGACUACUACAGUGUUAUUAUUCCUGUUAUUGAAUACGAAUAUGAUUGUCUAUGAAUAUUUUGAUUGCGUUUAAUAAUGUGGACAUUUUUACUGUUCUAUCUCAGGAUAAGACGAAGAGGUUUACUUACUACGAGACAGUUUCAGUGGCAGAUAAAAAUGUGACUGAGUAUAGUAUGAAUGAUUUUGAAAUAUGAAGCGCAGAAAGAAGGCUACUCGACUCGAAGACGAAUUGAAGAACAUAACUCAACGACUAUAGAUACACAUCUUCCAUAUAUUUUAACAAACGUUGUAUUGUACUUUGUAACUUUCUUCACUUUAGAUCGCUCGAAGCAAGGAAAGCACUUAACUCCAAGCAAAUUAAACUCAAGAAUAGAAUUGGAUAAUUGGAUUCAGAAAUUGUAUCGGUUAACUCGAUAGUAUUAGCAUAGUAUUAGUAAUUAUGAUUGUGCGCUAUUGCACUAUUGUAUUCUUAAACAUUCGAGACUCGUUCUAUGUGUCUCUUUCAUAUGCACUUUGGCCGCUUUAAAUACUAAUCUAAGAAGAAAGAAGUUUCCCAUUUGCCAUUACGACAGCAAGAAAGAGAAUUCUUAGACGACACGUCGUUAAAGCGUGGGCGUAGCUUUUAACUACAGUUUCCGUGUUAUUAGCGCUGGCUAGUCGUUAGCCAAAUUUUUCCUGGGCAAACUAUUCAACUCGUAAUCCGAACACAACAGUGCUAAAAGCUCAUCGUCGUCCUUAAUAGUGCGCUCUGAAUACGAGCCAAAUAUUAAAAUCUCUUCUCGCGGAAGGCAAAACUUCAAAGACGCGGCGAAGCGGUUCAGAACGAAGAUUCCAGAAGAUUAGCCGGGAAGAAACGCGGAAAUUCGGUGGCUCCUAGACAUCGAAAAUCCGCUGCAAAACAAGGAUAGAGGCGAGAUAGUUCGAGUGAAAGGUAGUGAAAAGGUGGAAUAAGUCGUCGAAUUGGAAGAUAACGAAAGGAAGGGGGACAGGGGAAGAAACUGAGCAGAACUGAAAGUGGAAAGACGGUGAAAACUUUAGGUUGAAACGGUUAGAGUGCCCUUCGGAGCGAGACGGUAUGAAGAUAUCGAGGAUAGGGUCUCGAGACGAGUGGCAGAGUGAGAGGACUCACGGUGAUGUGCAAUUAGGAAAAUUGAAUUCCGCCGUAAUUAACUUUCUUAAUUAAUAGAAUCGCGGGAUUGUAUCUUUAAUCUGGCCGUUGGAAGUGCUUCUGGCAGCUUCUGUCACCGAACGGAAGAGAAUGUGGCUUGGCUCCGACUCGGGAUGAAACCAGGAACAGAUGAAGACGACUGCAAGGGACGAGGAUAGAGAGAACGAUAGGAAGAGCGGGAUGCAAGAUUGACGAACGUGCAGAGAACGUGGAAGAACAGGGAGAAGAAAGGGAUAAGACAGGAUUGUUGCAAGACGGAGAAGCGGUGGCGACGAUUGCUAGCUACUCUGGGAUGGGUAGUCGCUGUAAGUUUUGAUAUAUGCGCCAGGUUAUUUACGAUCGCAUAAGAAUUAGCCCAGACAGUAAGCCGGUCUUUCUCUAGCAAAAAGCCGACUUUAUGCCGCGGACUGGCACUGUACUCCACCGGUUUUUGCUCGUUCGCUUUCGGAAAAGUCGUUAAAUCUCGCGCCGCAUUCGACGAAUCAGCCAAAUGACGUUUCUUGCGUCCUGUGGUUGUAUCGAUGGAAGUUCGGACGACGAUAAUUCCACUCGCGUGUCUCAACUUCUUCGAUACUGUACGGUGGUAUCGUUCAAAUCUGUAGGAUAUUUCGACGAAGCUAAACAAUGCAACGAGUUCAUUGAUUCUCGAAAAUGUAGUUCUUCGUGUAGUAUCAUUUCGCUAUAUCUCUUCAGUUAUACGUUGAAACAAUAGCCCUGUCAUGGAAUUAUUCGACUCAUCCUCUCGUUCUUUGAUAUCUUCCUUGGCUGGUCUUAAGGUACAUGAUAUUUUCUCAUUUUUUCGUUAUUGUAUUAACAACUAAUAGUCUUUAUCCGUCUCAUAAUAUACAACAAACUUCAGUAUUCCAUGCGAAAUUGAAGUAUAAAUUUGAACAUGCCGAAGCUGGGAUAAUUCAAAUAACCCCGUCUUCCAUAGAACAGACCGGACAAGUGGCGAUAGAUUCGCGAGACUAGCUGUUUGCAUUGGUUCGUGGAUACUAUUUGAAAAUUCGUUGGAUCCCCGGGCGAGAUUGUCACAACGAAUUAUGCUGGUCGCGUGAAAAAUUAACGGGGAUCGUUUUCGACGAUCGACGUACGUUAGAAAUCCAAGCGGAAAGUCAUUUUUCUCUUCUUUCCUUUAACGGCCACUGGCAGAUUAAUUAAUCACGCCGUGCCGAUUUCGUUCGACCACGCGGCUCGAUUAAUAAAAUCGAACCCCGACUCUCGUCCCUUGUUUAAGUUAACUUGCUCGCCGUGCAGUUAAUUACGCCGAUCGAUGAACGCCGCAUAUUUUUGACGUUCAUGGAAUACGAGGACACACGGUGUGCACUCGUAAAACUGGUUUUGACGAGCGCCUUUAAUCCCGGCCAACGAAUGGAAACGACUCUGAAUUCACGAUGAAACGCGUAAAUUCGUAAUCUGCAAAAUGUACAACAACUCGCCGAACUUCUGAUUUAUGAUCCUGGACAACGCUUUCACAGGAUUUUCCACGUUAUGCCGUGUUAUCUGACACAUCUAAAAUAUUAUGAGGAAAGUUGUACAUGCGUACAUUGUAUUUUUCGACCGAUGCGCUGCAAUUAAGAGAAUCUCUACUCUUGUUAUUCGACCGCUUACGCAGCAGUGAAACCUUGUCAGUCUGCCAUCAAACUUAUCGAAGUUCGAGCGUGGCGCCAUGAAGAAUAUUAAAGCGACUCAUUGGUGUUCUGAUUGGAAUGUCGCAAGGAAUUGUACUUCGUGUUGUUUCAAAGGAAUAUCGAUGGAUUGGUCGAUGGAUUUCUUGGAAACAUUGGAAUAUCAAGCCUAGAUGAUGGAAAACGAGCAUUUGCCAUUACUGAGCAGCGUUAGUUAAAUGAAGGUGUAGAAUGGUGAGUAUUCUCUUCUCGAUUAUUUACUGAGGCUCGCAAGUAUUAUUAUAGUCGCAGCUAUUAUUAAAUCACUAUUUUACGUAAGUGUUGCUUGUUCCUAAUUAUGUAUACUAACCAUUACAUUUAUCGGAAAACUUAAUUUAACAUAUUUGAGCAAAUUGUAUUUUAUUCGGUAUUUUCCUGAUAUUUUUAGACGAAAUGCAUUUUUAACGUCGCACACAAUAUGUUUUCAUAUAUCAAAGGAAAAAGGCUUUCUCUUGUACAAUUAAAUUAAUUACUGUUAGUUACAAGCUAUACAUUAUUAGUAUUUUACUUUCAUAACACCUAGAAAUUUGAGUAAUACAGCGAGCGAGACUUUGAAAAGAUUUUGCAAGUAAAUUUGAUUAAUUGUAUAAAUUAUUUGAUUAUAAUAUAUGAUGUUGAAUUUUAUGCAGGAAUUUGCACCUGUAAAAUGAUAAAAUUGAAGUUUAUGAUGUAUAACUCGUGUCUUGUCAGUUUAUUAAUGUUCUAUUUUAUUAAUAUUUCAUCAAUUGAUGAAUUAUCAUGCAAGCCGGCCUUUGUUAAAAAUGAUAUUCAACUUUACAUUCAUCAUCCGAUAUCUCAUAUUUAACAGUUUAUGACGGUCAUAACUUUUGUUACGUAAUGAAAUAACUUUCAUCAUUUUUUCAUAAUUUCAUGGCCCUGUAUCUUCUAUUAAACAUUCUCCACAUAUUCUCUAUAAUUUUAUAUCCUUCGCGUACAUUUAGAAUAAAAAUUCAUGAUAAGAACAAAGUAGAAUUUUGCUUUAUUUAACAUGGAAAUUACGUGAAAAAAAUAAAGCUAUACAUGUAUCCAAUAAAAUAAUUACACAACCGUAGUGAAAAAGAUAAAAAAUAACCCACUCCUCGUUCACAGACCACCGUUCGAUAGUUUUAACAUAGAAAUCUCACGUAUUUUAUCAGUUAUUUCUCGUAACAAUAACAUAAUAUUUUCGUCAUUAUUUUACGCGUAACCGGAUAUCGUCAAUUAUAUAUACUGCAGGAAUGAUAGCUAGCGUAUAAUAACGUACAAAAGUACGUAUAUCAAAGAAAAAAAAAGAGGAAACUCCGACGGGUUAAAAAAUAGUCCGGCGGAUGAACAUCAUCACAGUGGCCCGAUUUCACGAGCAUUGUUAUGGUGAUAGAGUUCGAGAAUCAAAAAAAAAAAAAAAAAAAAAAAGAUAGGAGUGGAAGGAAAGAAAGAAAAGGGGUGAAAAAGAGUGGGAUGAAACACGAGCGAAUAGCAAUACGCCUGCACGAACGAAUUUGUUACCAGGCGAGUUUUGAUACCAUUUAAUUCGUUGUUUCGACUGUGACGAAUUCAUCAUGAACGGAGGGAGGCGGGAAAACCUUCGAUUUCCAUUUAACCCAUUCAAACUCGUUUUCGCGUGUUUCUUUAACGAUCGAAAUAGGAAAUGCUCGCGCCGGAUUGUUCGAUAUUUAACUGCAAAUUUUUGCAGAGUUUCGUUUUUAUCCAGGCCAACCAAAUGUUGGAAAUGCCGAUUGGAAACAACAAUCGAUGAGAAUCACGCGCGGUUUUCCACGUCGCGUUGCGAACAUAAUAAAUCUUAAAUUCCCUAGCUAUUCGAAAUUUUUAUAUUCGCGCGACAUGGUCGAAGGGUCACGGGGUGGGGAUCCAAGCAGGCAUGCGAUAGAUUUGUAAUCAAAAACAUUCGUAUUUAGUCCUUCGACGAGUGAAUGGCAACGCAACGUCGCUGUCAAACUUAGCGUAUUAUUUUUGUAAGCACGUGUGUGGAAUAUCGUGCGUAGUGAUGCAUUGCAAAGCCCAAUCUCUAGCUCUUAUCUCCGGUAAAGUGUAUGAAAGAAUAAUUCUUAAACUCUGUAAGAAAAUUCUGUUGUAAAAAUUUCUGUGUUCCUGUGAGCUUAUCCGUAAGAGGAAACUUAUGGAGUGGGGAUAGAAGCACAUAAGCUUUCAUCGACGUUAUACGUCUUUGAUCCUUCGACAGGUGAAUGUCAACACAACAUCAAGUGCAUUUUACGAACUAUGCUGUGGAUGCAUAACAUCGCAAGUUUGGAAUUUAACAUCGUGAGACAGUAAAGUAAAAAGAUACUAAAUCACGAAUUCUGUAAAAAGAUUUCUGUGAUCGUGUGACUAACUUUGUCCAUAGAAGAAAUUCUGGAACGAAUAUAGCAGAAGCAGGUAAGCGUUAAGCACCAUAUGCUUUUUAAUUCUUCAACGAGUCGAAUAUAAAUACGAAAGCAUUUCCAUUGUUCGUCGAGUAAAUUUCGCUUAAUAUAAUUGUCUAUAUAACGUCGCAAGUAAUCCUGAAAUGUAUUUUCUAUCUCGGGAAUCUACGGUGAAGGUACAGAAUCUUAAAUUCCGUAGAAAAAUUUCGUGCUUGAAAUUUCUGCAUUCGUACGACUUUGUCCAUAGGAGAAACUUAUGGAGUGGGGUUAAGAGAUACAGCAUUCGUCGACGCCAUGUGUCUUUGACUCUUUGACGAGUCAAUGUCAACACGACGACGAGUGGACUUCUCGUGCUAUGCUUCAGCGUGGAAUCUCGUGUAGAGUGUAGAGGCACAUGACAACUUUUGAUGGAAUUCGUGAACUGGAUACGAAGCGGACUGCUUCAAAGAACCUGAAUCGAAAAUAUCCGACUGGAUGAUAGAGAGGGACGUCGUUUGUCACGACAAAAUACCCUUUCUGGAAGUUGCCGAGGAAAACAAUUAGAUGACCUAUCGCAUGAUUCUAUCGACAUCCUUCAAGCAGCAACCUGCCAGAUGGAAGUAAAGUAUGAAGCCAGAUGGCGUCGACGUUUUGCCAGACACCAAUUAAAUUCUGGAACGCGAUGUAACGUGGUCAGGAAAAUUACUCGUAGCUAGUUGGAUCUCGACACCGUCUGGAGACAUUGGUGGAUCAAUUUUUGAAGCGCGCCAUGAACGACGUGGAGGGUCGCUACUAAGAACAAUGACGAUGCUGAUGCGAGACAUUCAGUCGUAAAUUAUCCCUGCAAGGUAUUAUUAAUUAAUAGUCUUGUUAAGUCGCGUCACACCGCGCCAAGAGGUGCCAGAAAUUGAACACCUCGAUAAGGGGCUUUAUCUAUUGACACUUUCUGUAUUAUUUAAUUCCUUUAAAAAAUUAUAGGAAGACACAAUAAAAUAAGAUCUUGGACGUAGAACUUCUGCAAUUCUUCGAUCUCCGGUAUUUUUUUUCUGAGAAUAGAAAUGUAGUUAGAGAUGUACAGUGGCUACAAAGUAUG